CAAACUCCGAAUACUGUAACUUAAAAGAAUGGCAGUCAGACUACGGGAGAUAAGUUUCGUGGUCGAAAGGGAAACAGCCCAGACCGUCGUCUAAGGUCCCUAAAUUUGCACUAAGUGGCAAAGGAUGUGGGGGUGCAUAUACAACCAGGAGGUUGGCUUAGAAGCAGCCACCCUUUAAAGAAAGCGUAAUAGCUCACUGGUCAAGCGAACCCGCGCCGAAAAUAUAACGGGGCUCAAGCGUGGUACCGAAGUCGCGAGAGUGGCAACACUCGGUAGAGGAGUAUUCUCUGGGAGAUACGCGGUGUAUCGACAAGAGGCACUAACGGCCCAGAGAAGAGCUUAUGCAGGCAUGAGUAGCGAUAAACCGGGUCAAAAAACCCGGUCGCCGUAAGCCCAAGGUUCCUGGG
rnacentral:rRNA from 1 species